GGAGCAGCCCCAGCUGUGCAGUGGAGACAACCGGCGAUUGGUUCGGAGAAUCAGGUAGAAGUCUCAAAAGCUUCCAGAAAACAAGAUCCAGUGGUGAGCGGAGGAGAGAGCACUUCCAACAGCAGACAGGGUCCUUUCAGCGCUACUUCUGGAUAAAGAGCUCAGAGUGGACCCAGAGGAACAUUGGGUCACCACUAGGACAAAAAAGGAAACUGCAACAGCGAAAGAACAGCACAGUCCAGUUUGACUUCCAGGUAACUUACCAGCCCAGGCCUAGAAAUGGGAAGGCAGACGCCCUCUUGCGGAAGACUGAGUAUGAUACAGACUUAUCACAAAAGCCAUACAAACCUAACCUGAUUUUGAAGCCUCAAAACUUCAUCAGUACCACACUGCCGACAGACUUGCUCUCCAUGCUCUGGGUCACUACCUGAGAAGAUUAAAAUACCCCCAGAAGAACAGACCAUCUUUAUGCAACAAACACACUGAGGUCCAGGAUGGGGUCAUAUUUAUCUGAGGUAGAAGCUAUAUGUACCCAAGUCUGGUUAGACUGCCUAUCCUUCACCUAAACUAUGACCUCCCUUCCCUGCUCCACCCCCAUCCCCGCAACAGGCCCCGUGGAACCAAAAAGACCCAGUGCCUCAUCUCUUGCUACUUUUGAUGGCUGCAACGGUGCAAGACUGUGUAGAUCAGGGGUGUCCAGCCUUUUUGAAUGUGGGGCUGGAUCACAAACUUUUUAUCACGCAGUGGGCCGGCGAGCCAUAUUCAAGGACCUCACAGGAAGUGGUAUCACAUCAGGAAGUGAUGUCAUGUGACCUUUGACACCAGUGAAGUUGCAGGAAGUGACAAUGAAAUGGGUCUGGAAAUGUGGUUUAAAAUCCAAAAUAAAAACAAUAUAAAAGCAAGAAUGAAAUAAUACCAAACACUUGACUAAAAUAAACAUUUUCACUUCUACUCACUUCUCAGUGAAUGAAAGAAGCGUAAUGCAAGUUGACAGAUCAAAUGUCAAAAAGAUAUCAGCCAGAGUGGAAACUAAUCAAAGCAACAAAAUAUGGGCAUUUUUGAGAAUAAUCUUCAAGAAGAUUUACUUUUAUUGAAUUAAUAAUGAGUUAUGACUAAAGGUUACAUAAUAAAACCCUGGUUUUAAAUGUUGACCAUAAUUUAAAUAGCAACAUCAGAAGGGCUUGUCAGCCUCAUCCAGUCUUAAAAUAAAUUGCCCUUUUCUACACAGAGGUUGAUGGCAACAUGAAACUUGACCGCUAGGGAAGCCCAUCCAAAGAUAUGUGCUCCCUUCACACCUCCCUACUCAUCCCUACAGGUGUUCCCAACACCCCUUCUUCCCCCCCACACACACACAUGCUCCCUAUACCCUUCCUUACAUGCACCCCCUAUUCAUCCCUACACCCACUCCCAGCCCCCCACAUCACUAUGAACCCCCCCACACUCAUAGUCCUUGUUGACCCUUUCACCCCAAUUGUGCCCUCACAUAUGGACUCCUGCACCCACACCCAACACACAUACAGGCAACACUCACCCACCAAAGUGUCAAGGGACCCACAUGCAGCCUCUCACCCUCAUAAGAUUCCAGUGAUUCAAUUGCUAGCAGCCUGCUUUUGAGCAAAGCACAUCUAGUGUAGUCCUCAUGGUGCACCAGACCAGCUGCUCCCACUUUUAAUAAAGGCUGGGGCAUUAGGAUCCGCAGUUGUGGCUGGACAUAGAGCGCCUCUGGGCCGGGCUCCUCCCGCCCAGCCUGGCUCCAGCAACCGCACACCCCACAGCCCCAGCCCGGCCCCAAAGCACCCCCAGCUCCACGCAGGAACUUACCCGUGCCUCCAUCCACCAUGCAUGUGGGCAGGGCACGGGCCAUGCUGCAGCUCCCCUGGCCACGUGCCGGGGGCAAGGGGCUGAGCCAGAGAAGAAGCUGCACACGCUGUCCCCAGCUCAUCUAAUCAGGCGCGGCUGGGACAGCCCCAAGCCAUGCAGCCCUCGGGGCAGCGGCGGCAGGACCCGUCUCACUGAUGAGCCUGGCCCCGCAGGGGUAAGCAGCUCCCCUCCCCUCGCUGCCGGCUGGGGCCUGCGAGCUGGCCCUACCUGCCUUGCCUAGCCUUGCCACUGCCCCGCCUCUGCGACCCGUGGCAGCGGCUCCACGGUGGCACCACCGUGGCUCUGCGCUCCACGGUGGUGGCGGCGGCGGCAGCGGCAGCGCUGCCACAGGCCAGAUAAAAUGGCUUGGCAGGCUGCAUGGCAGCCCAUGGGCCAUAUGUUGGACAAGCCUGACUUAGAGAGAAUUGGGGCCUCUGCCUGAUCAGAAGAGCUGCUCAUCUUGGCAUGCCACCCUGAUCAAAGCUGUCCAGUGGGGCCUUGAUUUGUUUCCACUCACCAGCACCCGAGUGUCUGUCUGGGAUUUACUGACACUCCAGUUCCUCCAUAUAAACCCCUGACCCAAAAUAGGACAACAAGCCUAGUGAACGUAACCUGAUCCCAGACUGCCUUGCUGUUCCCUCCAGCUUGUCCUGGAACUCUGCUCUCUGUUUGGUCUCCUAGCUUCCUGGCUCCUCCUAUUCCUAGUCUCUGUGCUCAAAUUGACCUCCUAGUUUCCUGAACAAUGUUGUCCCUAGAAUUAGCUCAUUCUUCCUAACGCUUGUACCUUGAUCCUAAUCCUUCAGUACCUUGAUCCCCAAGUGCCCUAGACCUGUCCACCCACACUGUAGUGAUGCAUCAAAUAUUUUAACUUUGAAGCAAAAGGAGAAAUCUAAACCUGCUUUAAUGUGCAUGACUAUUGCCACUAAUUUACAAGAAACACUAAA